rnacentral:pre_miRNA from 1 species
GUAGUUGGUCCUUCUCUUGUUGAUUUCUGUGACCACCUUGAUUCCGGCCUAAUUUGCGCUCAAUCAUCAGCAGCUGGAGGAUCAACUCGAUUAAUGCAAAACAGGCUGAUAUCAGGGUGGUCACAAAAUCAAUCCACGGUUACCCUUACAG